AUUGAACGCUGGCGGCAGGCCUAACACAUGCAAGUCGAACGAGUGGCGGACGGGAGAGUAAUGUCUGGGAAACUGCCCGAUGGAGGGGGAUAACUACGGGAAACGGUAGCUAAUACCGCAUACCAUCGGAUGUUCCCAGAUGGGCUGAGCUAGUAGGUGGGGUAACGGCUCAACUAGGCGACGAUCCCUCGCUGGUCUGAGAGGAUGACCAGCCACACGGGAACUGAGACACGGUCCAGACUCCUACGGGAGGCAGCAGUGGGGAAUAUUGCACAAUGGGCGCAAGCCUGAUGCAGCCAUGCCGCGUGUAUGAAGAAGGCCUUCGGGUUGUAAAGUACUUUCAGCGGGGAGGCGUUACGCGCAGAAGAAGCACCGGCUAACUCCGUGCCAGCAGCCGCGGUAAUUC
rnacentral:rRNA from 1 species